UCAAAAAGUUACAAUAGGAGAUAACUGUUUUUCAAUAAAGGCUGUCUCCUGAAAUAACUGCAGCUGGAUUAUUACAGAAGAGAGAAGCUGAAAGUGGAGAUGGAUUCAGUACUGUGCAAGGAAUUAAGAAGGUCUGGACCCCUCAGUUUGGGAAGGAUGUUGAGAAGCUUGAGUGUGUCCAGAGGCAACGAGGCUGGUGAGGGGUUUGGAACACAGACCCUGUGAGGAACGGCUGAGGGAGCUGGGGGUGUUUAGCCUGGAGAAAAGGAGGCUCAGAGGAAUCACUGUGAAAAGCCUGGCUUGGCCCCUUGAUAAUCUCUCUGUAGGCAAAGAAUUGCUGACCCCUACGACUGGCCUCUACAUCUGCUCUUGCAUGAAAGGCUCUGUACAAAACCCAAGUGUUGGGUGAUGGGACUGGAGGAAGAAGAGUACCCUUCUGGAUGCCUUUGCUUUUGUGACAUUCAUCUUCUAAAUGUUCUUUCCUAUAUUCUUUCCUGAGAUCAUUGGUAUGAUUUUAGUUAUCAUUGUGUUGUUCAUAAUAAAAUAGCCUCAGAUCAAUGCCUCCCUUUUGGUUUAAAAAGUUCACCUCUGAAUACCUUGAAAGCCUGUCGUGAUUUUGCUGAGUUAGUAAGAGAUAAAACUGUUUUCUGGGAGCUGUAGUGCUGCAUUGCUUGCCCAUCUCCUUAAAGGUUAUUUAACAGAUAAUCUCUAUUGAUUUGAAACAUAAAGCCAUGGGUAACCCUGGGAUAAAUUAAUAGCUGACACAGAAAUAAAGCAUUUAAUCAGCCUCCAAAGCUAUUAGGGUGCUGCAUUAUACAACAAAUUUUGUUAUCCUGUAGCAAGUCAUAAAAAGAGUAGAAAAAGUACUGAAUGUCCUUUUGUGAGGUGGUAUCAGUGUGUUGAGGUAACCACAGUGUUUUGAGCUCUCUGCUCAGUGACUCAGUUGUUCAGUACCUGCUAUGUUUGUUUUACCGAUGUUUUCCAGACACUCCAGACCCAAAUCAGAGCUUUAAGUAUGAAAGUACUAUCAGAGGCUGGACAUUUUGACAUCUGUUAACCCCAGCUUAGCCCAGUGAUAUAUUUGUCCUUUCACUGUGAUGAAUUGAGUGGGGUUUUUUUGGGUUCCCCUCAUAUCAAGGCCAUUUGGGCUUCCCUGCCAUCAAUCUCACUGUGUUCUCUAACUGUUAAGUUAUUGUUUCCACAGUAUCUGAAUUCCUCUUCUGAUUUACAAAAAGUUUAAGAACUGACUUAGACUGUGCUGGCAUCGUCCCAUUUCAAAAGAAAAGGGAAUAGGGCUGACUGUACGGGUCAGCUUGUGCUGCUGGGUGAAGAUCCUUGGCUAACACAGAACAGAAAGUCUGAGGUCACUCUUCAGCACCGGAUUUUUACCCCUCCAGACCCA